rnacentral:rRNA from 1 species
CCUUUGCAAACUCCGAAUACCAGUAAGUACUAUCCGGGAGACACACGGCGGGUGCUAACGUCCGUCGUGGAGAGGGAAACAACCCAGACCGCCAGCUAAGGUCCCAAAUUACUACUAAGUGGGAAACGAUGUGGGAAGGCUCAGACAGCCAGGAUGUUGGCUUAGAAGCAGCCAUCAUUUAAAGAAAGCGUAAUAGCUCACUGGUCGAGUCGGCCUGCGCGGAAGAUGUAACGGGGCUAAGUAGUAAACCGAAGCUGCGGCAAUAUACUUUUGUAUAUUGGGUAGGGGAGCGUUCUGUAAGCGGUUGAAGGUGUGUGGUAACGCAUGCUGGACGUAUCAGAAGUGCGAAUGCUGACAUGAGUAACGAUAAAGGGGGUGAAAAACCUCCUCGCCGGAAGACCAAGGGUUCCUGUCCAACGUUAAUCGGGGCAGGGUAAGUCGACCCCUAAGGCGAGGCCGAAAGGCGUAGUCGAUGGGAAACGGGUUAAUAUUCCCGUACUUCUUACAAUUGCGAUGGGGGGACGGAGAAGGCUAGGUGGGCCUGGCGACGGUUGUCCAGGUUCAAGUGCGUAGGCUUAAGAGUUAGGUAAAUCCGGCUCUUUUUAAGGCUGAGACACGACGUCGAGCACCUACGGGUGUGAAGUCAUUGAUGCCAUGCUUCCAGGAAAAGCCUCUAAGCUUCAGAUUGUAAGGAAUCGUACCCCAAACCGACACAGGUGGUCGGGUAGAGAAUACCAAGGCGCUUGAGAGAACUCGGGUGAAGGAACUAGGCAAAAUGGUACCGUAACUUCGGG